GUAGCAGAGUGCAGGAAGAGGAAUGAACUGCUUUACUAUUUGUAGGAAUUUAAAUUUUGCACUUUGCAUUUCAGGUGACCCAGAUGAGUAUAGCGUAUGCUAGAAGAUUUCCUUUCAACUGUACAAACACUUCAGGAUUGCUCCCUGUGUGUGAAGGGAAAACAGAAGUUGUAUGAUAAAGACUUUUUGUCCACAACGUCUGAAGACUAAUAACCUUAGUGCUCUGCUAAGAAACAGAGCCUUGUAAGAUUCAAGGAAAUCACCUUAUCUGUCUUUUAUCCUGUUUGGAAGCAUCUAAAGAAAAACUGGAGACUGCAGUGACAUACAAAGAACUGAAAGCAGGGAAAAUUGGCCUCUCUAUUUUGGAAGACUUUUGUCUAUGAUUUAUGGAUGUAAGGGCCUUCCCACCUUCUGUCUAUAAGCUGGAUGAAAUAUAUUGCUCUUUUGGAUGGCUGUCAUCCAGAAACAAGACAACAUGAGCUAAUCUCCGUAGAGAAUGGGACAUCAUAUCCUGACCUUGGUACACAGACUCAGUCUGGAUGGAUGCCAAACCACAUUUCAGAGGGGUGAGAAAGGCCCAACAUCUGCUUUUGGUGUAACUGUUUGUAUCUUCACUCUAGGAAAAUUAGGUUUGAAAUAAUCUCAAAUUGUCUGACACCUGUAUCCUAUUAGAAGUGACACAUGGAAACACCUUCAGCGUACUGAAUUUAGCACCAUGUCAACAGUUUAAAAUUAACAGGAAAAAUUGGUAAAAUCAUUGCUUCCCAGUUUCUGCUGAAACAGAUCUUGUGUCAUUUCACAAGACCAUACUGCAAACUUGAUCCAUAGAAGUAAUGGGGUUUGAACCAGUAAUUAUAACAUAGUUUGUGUCCUUAGCUAUAGCUGGAAUUAAAUCAAGUGCACACCUUAAGAUGACCAGUGUUUUGUAUUUUGAGCCAAGGCUCGCCAGAGACACACCUAAGGAUUGAUUGCCAGCAAGCAAGCAUCUAGGACAUGUAAUGACUUCCGUGACAGUUAUUCUGAAGUUCAGGUCUGAACCCGAAGUUCAACAAUUUUCAGCUUAUUAAAAUAAUGAGCAGGUCAUACCUGAUUUGUCUCAAGAAAGUGACUCAAUUUUCUGCUACAGAAUCUAAAUUCUUGUGUCAUAAAGGUUUGCUAUUUUUUGGGGACACAGAAAAUCCAAAAGACUUCUGAAGUCAUUCAUCUGUUCUGUUGCAUCAACAGCUCACUUCCUGCCGUGCAGCGUUACUCGCAGACUCCAAUGUGCUAUCUCCAACUCACUUUCUUUUCCUCCCAAGCACCGUGUCUCACACUUGUGAUUAUUCUCCACAGAUUUCCAUAAGCUUCUAUAACAACUCUCAACUUGUAGUGGACACAUCAGUUUUCCUUAAAUUAUUUGAGUUCAAAGGGGCUUCUCCAUUGCUGAGAGUUUAGGCAACCAAGGUGUGUGAACGUG
rnacentral:lncRNA from 1 species